AAACUACUCCCUCCGUCCGGAAAUACUUGUCAUCAAAAUGAAUAAAAGAGGAUGUAUCUAGAUGUAUUUUAGUUCUAGAUACAUUCCUUUUUGUCCAUUUUGAUGACAAGUAUUUUCGGACGGAGGGAGUACUAU
rnacentral:pre_miRNA from 1 species